UUCCUGGUCAGAGACUCCUAUGUGGCAGUCUCCAGUUGGUUCUUGUGCAGGUUGGUCCUAGGUGUUUCUUGAAUUUGCUCAGUUGGGUCAGUUUGACAGCGACAGGUGAAAGGCAAGAGUUUGGGGAAAGCAAGCAAGAAACUUGAUGAAUCUGAGGGCGGAAGCAAAGGGGGAAACAGUCCCACUCUGAAGAGUCUGAAGAUUCCCCAAGGUCUAUUUGGUUUCCAAUCUUAUUGAAGCAGGAGAAGAAUUGUACGUGCUGGGGUGGUGAAACACAAGAUCCUGAUUCAAUCACUGCCAUGGGUGAAGGGUUCUUGCAAACUGGAGUCGAUUCUGUUGUUGCAUGGUGAGGUGAAUUUGCCAUCUCAGGAUUAUACAGAGGCUAGGUGUUUGUGGAAUUGCCUCCCUGGAAGCAGCUGUAGGGAAAGGCUGGAGAGGAGAGGAAAUUGAGGGAGAAGAGUGCGAGGAUGACGAUGUCGUGGGGGCUUGCGGCUCACAUUGUGGACAUGGUGUGGAUGGUGCUCGCCGGCUGGGUUUCAACGUGCCUGGUGAUCGCCGGUGAGAUAGCCCGCGGCAUGCGGAACGGGGAGAUCAGCCCCUUUGUUGUUGGCUGAAUCCUCCUGGGCCAUUCUUCCUUCAUUCAUUGAUGCAGAUAGAUUUUGUCGAAUCCAGUCCUUCAAUACACAUUGCAUUAUACUGUACAGAGCCCAUAAAUCUCGAUUAGCGUUCCACUGAUUGCCUUCAGGCGUAAACAGAAGUGGUAGACUCUAGGUCAUUAUCUUUUCAUUCUUACAUUUUUUUUAUGUCAUGUAAUCCUGUAAACAUUUGUGCAACUACAUAUGAACAAUCAUGUCAUCCCUAUGUUCUUUUUCACCCUCUCAGCAAGGGUACUGAACUGUUUUGAUCGAUACUCAAAUGAAGUUCCACAGAUUAUGCUGCAUUAUCAGGCUAUGAACAGGAAAUGUAAACUAAUUCUUAAAGGAGAGAAAAAUCUCUCUUUAUUUU